CCAGGAUACAAUAUUUUUUUUAAAAGCAUGCCCAGCCUUGGACAGAAAACCACUUGAGGAGAGUUUGCUGCCUUAUUGGGUUCUGUAAACGCCUUAUCUCUGCACAAGGCUGGAACUUUGAGUCGAGUCCUUGGCUGAAGCUCUCAUUGCUCCAUGGUGACCUUUAUUCCCUCUCCUGCUUAAAGCUUUUGGUUCAGAAUUUUGACCCAAAUGCAUCUGUGUUGAAAGCCAGGCUUGGUCUGUCAUCUCAGGACUCUGUGUCCGUCCUUUUCCUUGCCUGUGUUGAGUUGGGGCUCAUCUUCAUGCCUCUGGGAAAUAAAUUCUUUGAUAGCUUGGUUAGGUUCUCAGUACUUUCCGUUGCCCUUAGAAUGAAUACAAAAAUAUGUGGCCUGCAGUGUAGGCUGUGAACAGCUAUCAGUGUAGACUGCUCAGGCCUCCUUUUCGUUCCUGGAGUCUGCCAUGCUUCCUUUUACCCCCAGGCCUUUGCACGUGCUGCUGUCUGCUGGGAAUGCCUUGCCUUUCCUCGUUACUUAGUUCUCAUCUUUCAGGCGCCAGCUUGACUGUCUUCAUCAGGGGAGCCUUCUCUGACCUUGGUACACCAGAUCAACCCCCAUGUGUUGACUUUGUCUCACUGAAUCCUUGCCCAGAGUCCAGCGCCUCCUUCCUGUCCAGGAUCACCUUCUGGUGGAUCACAGGAGCUGUCUUGAAUCUGCCUGUGCUGGCCAUGUGGUUUCAGAGACACCAACUCUGUCCUCCAAGUCCAUCACCUUGAAUGUAAUAAACGCAUGAGCCAUGAGCAGCUUAAAUCUCUGCAGAAGGCUUGGCCUGGGACAGCCAUACACUGGACUGCUCUUCCUUUAGCUUCAGAUUUGGGGAUGCCCAGGAUACAGGCCUUCAGUCAGACCCAGAUGGUAAAUGGAAAUGUGGGCCAUCCAUGGUGCCAACCAGUAGGACACAGCAGAGGACCUUGUGACCCUGGUGGAAGGCUGUUUGGUCCAGGUAAUCGAAGAAAUUAUCUUAUGGGAGACAGAGCUUGGACCUCCGUGGCUGAGCAUUGUACGGAAAUGGCCCAUGUCCUUGACCCAGUUGAAGGUCAUUUGCAGGCAGAGGUGAGGUCCCUGGUUACUUCAUGGAGACAGAACUGGUAGGAUGGAUGGAUGGAUAAAUGAUACAUUGGUAGGUAGAGAGAUAGAAGAUGGAUACAUGAUAGGUGGAUAGAUAGAUGAUAGAUUGAUAGAUGAUGGAUGAGUGGAUGGAUUGAGGGUGAGAGGGGAUCUACUAGGGAAACUGGAUCAUGUGAUUAUGAAGAAGUCCUAUGCUAGGCCAUCUGCAAGCUGGAGAACCUGAGAAGCUGGUAGCAUGGCUCAGACCAAGUCCAAAGAUCUCAGACCCACAGAAGCUGAUGGUGGAAUUCUCAGUCCACAACCAAAGGCCUGAGAACCUGGAGUGACUAGAGUAAGUCCCAGAGGCCAGAGGCCAGACAGCCUGGAGUUGUGAUUUCCAGGGGCAGGAGAGGAUGACCUUCUGGCUGCAGAAGAGAGAACACAUGAAUUUACCAUUUCUCUGACAUUUUCUUAUGUUUGGACCCUCUGCUGAUUGGGUAGUGCCCAGUCACAUGGGGCGAGGAUGGAUCCUCAUUGAGUCCACUGAUUCAAAUGCCAGUCUCAUCUGGAAACAUCCUCACAGGCACACACUCAGAAAUAACACUUUACCAGCUAUCUGAGUAUCCCUUAACCCCGUCAAGUUGACCCUCUAAUAUCACCUCUCACCUGGAUUCCUUCAGCCUCACCUGCGGUGUUCUCCCUGCUAUGAAGGCCACAUUUGUAACAUGGACUUCAGCAUUCCUCAUCACCAACGCCUCUGCUGAUUGCCUGGCUUGGCUUUCUUUCAUGAAAGAAGGAUGCCCACCUUUGUGUUCCCUGGAGCUUGCCAGUGGAUGACCAGUAUUUGUUCAGCACCUGCUGUGCAUUGUUUUAUGUACUGAGGAUACAGCAGCCCACCUGGAGCUGACAUUCUAGUGGGGAAAGAAAAGUAAGAAAAUUGGGAAUACAUAGCCAGCAGAAUUUGAAAACAAUAAAAAACACCAAGGAAGAAAAGUCAUGGAUAAAGAAAAAAAAAUAAUAAAGCAUUAUGGAAGUAGGCAGAAAUACUAGCCUAAACAGAAAACAAAACUGGGAAGUUAAAUAAUUUCUCUCCAAGGCUUGCCAAAUCUUGGUUUUGUAAACCUAUGGGCAAACCUUUACGCUGCCCUAAAGGGUUUGAUGGUUAAUUAAAAAAAUAAAUAUAAAAGGAUGCUGGUUACCACAAAAAUUGUCAAAUUAGGACAAAUUCAAGGACUAACCUCAUUUCUAACAGUAACCUAAAAUGAGAGUUUAACUUAUUUAAACUCAUUAGACAUUAAUUAAAAUCAUCUGAUUAAUCUUAUUCAGACCUAUAUCUUGAUCAAAGUGCUGCACAGAUAUCUCUAUCAAUCUGUGCUGAGGAGGAAGAGAACAGAUUUGAAAGCCAGUUAGGCUGACAGUCAAACUGUGUGUCAGCUACUUUGUAAGCUAUGGGAUCAUGAUCACAUUCAUCAACCUCUCUCUAAACCACAGUUGUCUAUUUAAUAAACAGUAGGUUAUAAGAAAACAAAUGUUUUGAUGGCUUUAUGAGAUAAAUGCAUGGCACAUAAUAGGGUAUUUAGCCCAGAAUACAACACUCAAUAGAUACUAGUUUCUUCCAUCUAUAUUCUUAGUUAACAUAAUUUUUUAAAUAUGUAAAAUCCUACCUGACUGCAGAUUCAACAGAACUCCCAGAAUCUAUUAAAGAAAAAAUGCAUUUUAAAUCAAUAAUGUAUAGAAUAUUAAAACCAUAAGAAAGUACGGUGAUACAUGCCUGUGAUUUCAACUGUUUGGGGGGUUGAGGAAGAAGGAUCACUUGAGAAACCCAGAAGUUUGAGACCAGUUUAGGAAACACAGCAAGACUACCUUCAUAAAAAGUAUGCACAGUUAUGUACCUGGUUUAGAUCAUUUUUCUUUUAAGUAUAGGACUGAUGCUUUGUUACAAAGCAUUCAUCUGGGAGCAUACCUGAGACUUUAUUAGCAUUAAUAUAAAUUAUACCUAUUGGUAUGUAAUUAAUGCCGUGAGAACUCUUCCCUUACUUUGUAUUUCUUCAAUGCAAAGAAGAAUAAAUUUAUCAAAAUUUCAUAUCUACAAGUGAACUGCAGUAUGCAAGUCAUCCUAGCCAAACCCUAUGAAAUUGGCUAAAAAUGGUAUUGUUAGCAGAACAGGUGGAAUGAGUGACCAGUGUCAAACAGCAUGAUUUCUGGACUAAAAUAUGAGGGGGGCAGUUAAAAUCAGAGUAAACAGCAGUACCCCUUAUCUACUUUAUGUGUGGAAAAGACACACUUGCCAUGUUUUUCUCUGCUGUCACACCACAGCAACAAUCAACAAAAAAGGUGGCUUCUGUGACCAAACGUGGAGAGGUUUUCCCCAUCAACAAGCAAGCAAUCACUUCUGCAGACGACACAAACUGGGUGUCAUCUAAUUCAGUUCUCUUCCUCUGUCUGCAGAUAGCAUCAGAUGCCACAGAUAAAGGGCUCAGUCCCACGAGACUGCCUCCCUAUAUCAGUCCUAAGUCUGAAACUCCAGAUAUUCGGACCAAUCGGCUUCAAAUUGAGGUUCCCAGGACUCCCUCUUUGUGUUAAAUUGAAUUGCUGGAAUGGCUAAGAGUACUCAGGGAAACACACUUACCAGUAUACUAUGAAUGACAUUACAAAAGGUACAGAUGAAGAGAUGCAUAAUGCAAAGUAUGGGCCUAAUGGCAGAGAGAUUCCAUGCCCUCUCAAGACACACCACCUUCCAGGAACCUCCAUGUAUUCAGCGAUCUGGAAGCUCACCAAGCCCAGUCCCUUUGGGUCUUUAUGAAAGCUUUAAUACAUAGGCAUCACUAAUUAAUCACUGGCUGUUGGGGACUGACAACCUUCAGCCCUUCUCGCCUCCCCAGAGUUUGCAGAGUGAGACAGAAGAUCUCAACCCUUUAAUCAGUCAUGUCUUCAGGACGGUGACCAGUUCCCAUCCUAGGAGCUUCCAGCCAUCAAUCAUUAGCAUACCAAAAGACAUCACUUUGGAAAUUCUAGAGUUUAAGAAUUGUACACCAAGAAAUGAGAAACAGAUUUUACAUCUGCAGUUUUGAAUUAUGUGGUUACAGAUACUAAUAGUUAACUGUAUUCCAAACAUUACAUUGAAAACUCUAGAAAUAAACAAGUCAUAAGUGUUAGUGUGCCAAUCUGAGAAGCACAAUACAAUGUUGAGCUAUUGCCCUCUAUCCAUCCCAGGAUGUCAAUCAUUCCUUUGUCGAGUGAAUUCACACUGCAUAUGCUGUCCAGCCACUAGUCAUCAACAUGGUCUCCUCCUGCAUCCAGCUAUCAACAUCAUUAAGGCCUGAAGGUCCAGGAACACUGAAAGCUGAUCAUCUUUUUUCUGACUUAGAGUCAGGGGGUGAAUAGGGGCCUAACAGUACAUGACAAUGCCUACAUCAUUCACCUCACUUCAUCUCGCUACACAGGCAUUGUAUCACUUCACAUCAUCACAGGAAAAGGGUGAGAACCGUACCAUAUAUUUUAAGAGGCCACAUUCAAAUAACUUUAAUGACAGCAUGUUGCUAUAAUUUUCCAUUUCAUCAUUAUUAUUAAUUUCUUACUAUGCCUAAUUUAUCAAUUUAACUUUAUCAUAGAUAUGUAAGUAUAGAAAAAAAAGUGAGUGAGUCAGUACUAUUUGUGCUUUCAGUCAUUCACUGGGGCCUUUGAAUGUAUCUCCCACAGUUAAGGGGGAACUACUGCACUUUGUUGUAACACAACACAGUCUCUCUAGCUCUUCAGUUAAAACUAUUCGGUUUAGGAUAAAACACCUUAUCACCAGAAGUCAGCAAAACAUAGGAAUCAGACCAGAAACAGGGAUUCUUGCAAAAACUUUCCAGCUGCCAGUGGAGAAGAGCUCAAGAGAUACUAAUGUGUUACUCUGGCCAAUACUCUUGGGGAAGGUGCUGGGUGUUUUUACUUAGUUGUAGCUAUGUGCUCUGCCCUACAUAUAACAAGGCCCAAAUUCACCUGCCAUUUUACCUCCCAACCAAAAGAACCACUGGAAAGAUUACUGCUUUAAGAGCUUAUCCACUCUGAACCACAUCACAGAACAAUACUCUGUCUCAAAAACAACAGCAACAAAAAAAUAAACCCAAUUGUUCCCAUGUAAAAAUAAGUCUAGGUCCACACUAGAGCUGAAGAGUUUACAGUGCCAUCAGACAGGACAGAAAUAUAUUUAAAAAUUAUAUUCCUUUCUGUAGAAAUAAAACUGUUCAAUUUAAGCUUUUGUAAGACAAGAAAAGAGCAAAAAAUGCAAAAGUAAAACUUGAAAGGCCAUUUCAUCAUCAAGGGCUCAUGAUCACGAGACAUUCACAAACUAUAUAUAUUGUGCAAAACAAUGGUUCUGAAUUUUGAUAUGAGUACAUUGCAGUUUCAUUCAAGGAUGUCCAAGAGGUCAAAUAAGAGAAUGUCAUUUGCUAUUUUCAGUCUUUUUUUUUUUUUUUUUUCUUUUAGAGAA